GUACUGGACUCAUCUUUGUCCCAAUAAAAGGAGAAGUAUUGAUUUGUACAUAGCAGGACAUCAACUGAUAGAUAAUGAAGGAAGCCCUGAUCAUGACUUGUAUCUGAUAUGUGACAGCACUAGUAAUAUAUCAUCAUGGAGGAUACCACCCAAUGGAGUCGAGAAUGGAAUUAAAAUGUCACUAUAUGUAGCUCCUGGAUAUGUUGUACAAGUUGAUACUGAUUGUACAUCAAAUGGUUCUCAUUCCUCUCAAGGUUGUCCUACCUACAGAUACAUUGAAAUAACAUCACAAGAGAUAUCAUCAGCAAUACAAGGACCAAGUAUGUACAUAUACUUCUCU